rnacentral:lncRNA from 1 species
UAUGUGUUUCUUAAGCAUCUCUUUCUGUCCCACAUUGCCCAUGCACGUGGCAUGCAUGGGUCAGGGGUCUUUUCUUGUUGCCCUAAGCACAUGGCACGGGAAAGGAGUUCUGCCAUGUGUCACGGGUUAGAAUGUGUUAUGUUGGAGUCCCCCGAUGCUGCUUUUCUGAACUCGAACCACUGCUGCAGCCCUUACAGCUGAGCCUGGCCCAUGUAGUUUAUAAUGUCAGACAGACUGCCAGAUCCGGACAGUGACCCAAAGUCUCCAAAGAAGAUUACGAGGCACCUCAGUUCCUGCACCUGGACCAGUGAGCGAGAUGCUCAGAUGUGAUACCUGCCGCCUGCCAGAACCUAGC